rnacentral:tRNA from 1 species
GAAUGGCGUAGUGGUUAGUGCCUCUGACUACUGAGCCGAAGGUCCCGGGUUCGAUUCCCGGCUGAGGCA